rnacentral:rRNA from 1 species
GACGAACGCUGGCGGCGCGCUUAACACAUGCAAGUCGAGCGAGAACCAGGGCUUCGGCUCUGGGGACAGCGGCGAACGGGUGAGUAACACGUGGGUAAUCUGCCCUCGAUUCUGGGAUAGCCCGGGGAAACCCGGAUUAAUACCGGAUAGCCUUUCGAGCCUUCGGGCGCGAACGAAAAGGUAGCUUCGGCCUCCGAUCGAGGAUGAGCCCGCGGUGGAUUAGCUUGUUGGCGGGGUAACGGCCCACCAAGGAGACGAACCAUAGCUGGUCUGAGAGGACGAUCAGCCACACUGGGACUGAGACACGGCCCAGACUCCUACGGGAGGCAGCAGUGGGGAAUCUUGCGCAAUGGGCGAAAGCCUGACGCAGCGACGCCGCGUGCGGGAAGAAGGCCUUCGGGUUGUAAACCGCUUUCAGGAGGGACGAAGCCACUCGGGUGAACAGCCCAGAGGGUGACGGUACCUCCAGAAGAAGCCCCGGCUAACUACGUGCCAGCCGCCGCAGUAAUAC